rnacentral:rRNA from 1 species
UGGGGAAUCUUGGACAAUGGGGGCAACCCUGAUCCAGCCAUGCCGCGUGAGUGAUGAAGGCCUUAGGGUCGUAAAGCUCUUUCGCCUGUGAAGAUAAUGACGGUAGCAGGUAAAGAAACCCCGGCUAACUCCGUGCCAGCAGCCGCGGUAAUACGGAGGGGGUUAGCGUUGUUCGGAAUUACUGGGCGUAAAGCGCACGUAGGCGGACCAGAAAGUUGGGGGUGAAAUCCCGGGGCUCAACCCCGGAACUGCCUCCAAAACUAUUGGUCUAGAGUUCGAGAGAGGUGAGUGGAAUUCCAAGUGUAGAGGUGAAAUUCGUAGAUAUUUGGAGGAACACCAGUGGCGAAGGCGGCUCACUGGCUCGAUACUGACGCUGAGGUGCGAAAGUGUGGGGAGCAAACAGGAUUAGAUACCCUGGGUAGUCCACACCGUAAAACGAUGAAUGCCAGUCGUCGGGUAGCAUGCUAUUCGGU